GAUCCUUGUUAUAUGUGUCUAGAAGUUGGAUACUUACGACGUCCUCUUCUCCUCAUCAGCGAUGAUUGUUGCUCUGGUGGGCUGGUCUUGUUGGGCAUCAGCAUUAUGACUUCCUUAGUCCUUACAGUCUACUACAACACGUUUUGCCUAGCUCGGUGUGGGAGGGACAACGACGAUGACACAUCAUUAGCUCGCUUCAGUGCUUGUAUUCAUCGUUAGGUGGUCUACGAACCUGAAUGUAAUUUUUAUUACUUUUCAUGUUCUUUGUACUACCCUGAAUAUUGAUAAAUAUAUCAAAAAAAAAUCCCUAAAAAUGAUAUAAAAUGUAAGAGCAGCUCUAACUAUCN
rnacentral:lncRNA from 1 species